rnacentral:misc_RNA from 1 species
AAGUCGUAACAAGGUCUCCGUAGGUGAACCUGCGGAGGGAUCAUUAAUGAGAACUUGCCCGAACGGGUAGAUCUCCCCCUCUUAGUCAACAAUGUUGUCGCUUUGUCUGGCCCGACCCUCGGGUCCGCCGGCCUUCGGGCUGGUCAGCGCCGGACAGAGGAAACUAAAACCUUUAUCACUGUCGUCAGAGUACUAUAUAAUAGUUAAAA